GACGAAGGUGACGACCGUUGCUCGGAAUCACUGGGCGUAAAGCGCACGUAGGCGGAUUGUUAAGUCAGGGGUGAAAUCCUGGAGCUCAACUCCAGAACUGCCUUUGAUACUGGCGAUCUCGAGUCCGGGAGAGGUGAGUGGAACUGCGAGUGUAGAGGUGAAAUUCGUAGAUAUUCGCAAGAACACCAGUGGCGAAGGCGGCUCACUGGCCCGGUACUGACGCUGAGGUGCGAAAGCGUGGGGAGCAAACAGG
rnacentral:rRNA from 1 species